GCGCCCUGUGAGGGGAGGAGGAGGCGCCGCUGUGAGGGGGGGGGGUGGAAGCGCUGGGGGCUCCGCGCGGUGCGGGUGCGGAGAUGUCCGGUCGAGGAGGCGGUGGCGGUGCUGGGAAGGCCCGGGCCGGGCGGUUUCCUCAGUGUAAAGGCGCUGCGGAGCUGCUGACGGCUGCGGUGAAUGGAGGGGUCGCAUGAAGCCCGGCUCCGUGCGGCCGAGGGCCCGCGUUGCCAAUAAGAGGCGCGUUCUCCCGUAUCUUCGGCCAGGCGGGCUGCUGAAACGAGGUGCCAAAAAUGUCCUGGCAGGGUUCGAUGGCUGCGGUGGGUCCGGCCUGGCCCUGCCGUGCUGGAGGCCUGCUGCACGCAGAGGUGAGCAGCGCGAGGUCCUUGGUGGGAUUCCCUGUGUGCUCAGGAGGCGGUGAAAAGGCUGUGAGAGUGGUUUGGUGUUUGUUACCAAGAGGUGAGAAUUGCUGUUACCGUCAUAUUUUCAUUUGUAGGGUAUUUAUCUUACCCGUGUUGUUUGGAGGAGCUGCAGUGGGUGCAGCUCAGUGUGAGUUCUGUGGGACUGAGCAAACUGGCAGAGAUAGAACUGGAUCCAGUGUAAGGUGUGAACAAAGGUGACCCCUAGGUUGAAGUUUCACCAAGGAGGUCUCGGUCCGGAAUGUGGUUUAAUGGGACAGGUGAAGAUCUUUGGAAGAGUAGACCAUCUAUAUUUGUGUGAUGUCAUUGAUUGGAAAUGCUGUGUGCUGACAAACCUAUGGAAUCCUGUCUUGUCAGAGUCCUUAACAGAGCUCGGCAGCAGUACUGGGCUGAGCUCAGCUCACCGUGGUGGGAAGUAGUCGUGAGGACCUGUGGUCAGUGUCCUGUUGGAAGAUGAAGAUAUUCUGUUCUUAUCUGUACCUUCUGGUUUUUAAUGUUCGAGUACAAAGAAGUUGAUGUUCAACCAUUUGGGUAACCUAAAGCAUGAAGACCAUGAUGCUGGUAUUUACGAGGCCUGCACACCAGGACUGUGAGUGCAAUUGGAGCUAAAGGAGCCUUGCUGUUCUGCUGGGGCUUUAUGAAAACUUCAGGAGCAUUUGACAAGUUCUACUCUAUUCAGUAGGAGGAAAAAAAGAAACGCGCUUGUAGUUUUUAUGCUUUACAGUAUGAUUAGGUUUUAAUUUAGCAGAAGUAUCCCAGAUCAACAUAGUGUAUUUCUCAGAGUCAAAAUAGGAAGCAUCUAUGGUAGAAAGAGAGUACUGUGCAAAAUUUACUCCGGUGGAUGCGAGAGCUUUUGGGUAUGACAGUUUAAGUAGCAAAGAUGAAAGUGAGGACAGUUCUUGGGCAGGGGACUUGAAGAGGAAUGUGAUUCAUGGGGCACAGUGACUGGUGUAAUUAGCAGUGCAGCUGCUGUAGUACCCUGUGCCAGUGCUAAAAAAGCCUGUCAUGGCCCGUGCUCGCUGGUCACAGUGUAAGUGAUAACGAUGGCAGCAGCAGUGCCAACUCCAGACUGCUGUAUGUGAGUGGAGCAGUUUCUGCUAGGUUUCAAAUUGACAUAAAACCAUCAUAGGAUUUCCUGAGGUGUUUAGGCUGAGGAAAAACUCUGGAAUUUGAAGUGGCAGAGUUUUUGUUUUGUGUUUUCUGUAAAGAAUAGUAAAAGAGUAGUGAUACAGAGGGUUUGAAUUAAUCUGAUAAUGAGUAAAACCUGUCAAAUUCAGGCAGGGAAAACCAAGGACGUGAACACCUUCAGUUUUAACGUUUUCAACACAUGAGGUUUUAUUUCUGUAAUAAAUUUAUGUGUUUCAGUGUUCUGUUAAAUGAGGUUUUAAACUUUUUGCUGUGAUGGAACUUUCUAACUGUCAUUCUGUAAUAUCUGAAGCCUCUGACCUGUGGUUUGGUGUUUGUUUCCAUUUAAGCCAAGUGACACGUUUCAGACUUGACCCAGAGUGGAAUUUGGAGUGUGGAGCUCUUGAAGCAUUGGGGCAGAAGAGUGGGAAGGAAUGUUCUGCUGAACCCAGACUUCUUUCUCGUGUAAAUGGCUAGACCAAGUGAGGAAAAGCUUUCACUGGAGAGUGAAGGGAAUUUUGAAAUACUAACCACAAAAUGUUAUCUUCUGUCACUAAUGUGCAUCAUCAGAACUCGCUUCUCUGGCUCUCCACAAAUGCAAUUUGCAUUUAAAAUUGAAGUGGAUUGCCAAAAGUCUUACAUCAGUCUCGCAUCAAAGACAGCAGAAUUUCCUAGAAUUCAGGGACUCUGAUAUUUACUGUCAGAGCAAUCUUUUUAACUGCCUAGCCCCAACAUCUGCAUUACAUCUCCUAACAUUUCACCCGUGCAGUAGAAAUAGUCAUUUUGUCCUAUUUAAGAGAGUGCUUAGCUACCUGUUCUAAGUGUAAUACAACCAUAAAUACAUACACACACGGUGUUCCUAAUUUCUUUGUCUUCCUUAUCCUCUUCAAAGAGUUUCUUGCUCUUUUUCAACCUUUUACUUACCUUUGAUUUCAUUUCUUUCAAUUCCAUCUCCUGUUCUUAAUAACGUGCCUCCCUCAAGUUUGUUUGGCAUUCUUCAGCAAUGGUGUUUAUGGCUCAAUUCAAGAGUCACAAGUUCCUGCAUCCAAAGCUAUCAAAGGUUGUUAGCUAAUUUAUGAAAACAUCCUGAAAUCAUUCUUCAUUGUCCCUGUUGACUGAGGGUACGAGUUCCACAGGCUUCAAUCCAGGCACAAAGAUGAGUCCUAAAAUAACACUGCAGAGUUUCUCCUUGUGCAGCAAGAGACCCUGUGCUCAUCCCAAGCACCUGCUGACUGCAACCUGAGUGACAAUACUCAUGGAUACAGUCUCCAAAGGAGGUUAGCAAAUGGACUCCUUCAAUUGGAAGGGGCCUACAAAGGUGCUCAUGGGAGUCUGAUCAACAAAAGCAGUGGUUUUAUGAGGAGUGUGCACUCUGUGUCCUCUGAAGCUGUAAUUCAGCUGUGCUUCAAGUCUGCUGAAGCAGUGGUGGCUACAGGGGUGAGGCAGGACUUAGGCAAGUAACAUGCAGUUUUACUUCAGUCGAUGCUGGGGUGAGGGUCCCUACCUCCUUCCCCAUGGGAAGGUACCCCAACCCAGGGAACAUUUCAUGCAGCACUGAAAUGGAGGCCUUCAGAGAAAGAUAAACCUCAGUGUGCUUCUCCAGUGAAAUAUAUUACACAUUUAUUAGUUUUUGGGUAACAGCCAAAUCAUUCGUUGUCCCUCCCCACACACACUUCCAUUUAUAAAUGAAGUCUUCAGUCUUUUGAAUGUCAUACAAAACUGUUCAAAACCAGACUUGAGCAAUUGAAAUUCAAUUAGUUCAAUCAGAGCGAUUCAAUUGACACAGCUGAGUUCUGCAAUCUGAACAAAAGAUUUUGCUGUAAUUGUGUAGGAAUAUAUAAAUGCUGAUAUGAUUGUCUUGUCCUCAGCCCUCCAGAAGGAUGUAUUGCAUUUUAAAACUUACUGGCAUGCACCCCAUUUUCUACUUGAUGCUUCUGUGGUGCCUCAGCCCCUUAUCGAAUUGGAGGUGAACACAAUCCAGUGGAAUACGAGAAAGUGUGCUUCCUGUGGGCAAACCUGCUGAAUGUUAGGCAUUAACAUGUAAUGUAUUGCUAAUUUGGUGAAUUGAGUUGGUCAUCCAGUCUGUCUUGAGACAGAUGAUCUUGUAAUAUCCACUUGCAGAUGAUGUUUCUGAUGAAUCAUUUGAGGUUGUGAUUCACAGCUUGACUGUAGUGAUGUUCAAGUAAAAAACUCUACUUUAUCUCAGAGCAGGAAGGGUUAUGCUGUCUGCUUUUUUUGAAUCUACACCUGUCAGUCUGCAAUGUACAAUCGAGUGCAAAGCCAAGAAAAAAAUAAAAAUAAGUUUACUCCACAGUAUGAGAGCCAAGAAGCAGAAGUUUCCUUGGUUAUCUUGCUUCUGCCACAAGCAACCAUGUUCUUAGACCUGUUUUCCAAUGGUACUGUGACUGGUUGUCACCAGGUUUUUUUCUGCACCUUCCUACUUCUCUCUUGACCAUGUUUGUCCCUCUUUAGGUUUUCUGUAGAUGAUGGGAGACUAGAAUUGUUCAUCUCAUGUCCCUCAUUUUUGAAUGAGCAUGAAACCAAUGGUCUUACCAGCAUCAUCUGGUGUUACCUAGCUCUGUUUUCUGUCAGAAGUUAAAAUCUUAUGUUGUCUGUGUAAAUGAAGCAUCAGCUCAUGCAUCACGUAAUUAAAGCAGAGAUUCUCAUCUUCCUCUGCCAGUCCUACUUCAUCACUGUCUCAGGCACAGCAGAUGAAACAGCCUUAUUUGCUUAUCAUGCAAAUUCAAAUCAGGCAUCGUCUGAAAUAAGACUCUCUAAACCUUCCUAGGGUUGUCUAGACUUCCAUAUUUCUAUGUGAAAUUUUAGAGAUGAGUUCCUUGGCCAUCUGCACAUGUAAAACUUCUGCAAUGUUUUAGUGUCUAAUUAAUCACUCCUUCCAGCAUUGUUUUCCCUAACAUGACAUAUUUACUCCAUGCAGAGUGGUGUUGUGCAGGGUAGUGGUUUGAUAGUGCAGCCCUUUCUUGUCCUAGAUUGCAGCGUGCCAGCCUCUGUUGUCUGUUUGUUGCAUUUAAGAUCAUUAUUUUCAUAUGAGAGAAUAUCACACAAACAGCCUCUUCUCCUAAGCAACCCUUACUUUACUGUAACGAUUGCAGAUGUCCUUGGUUAUCUCCUUCCAUGCAGCUGGGACUGCUCAGUGCUGUCUUGCUGUUUCCUUGGAUAUUCCUACCUGUCUAUUCUGCUGUUAUCUCCUGUGUUACAUUCCUGUGUCUCUUGUGGAAUUUCUCACACGUGUUUAUUCUGCCCCAGGACCUGGCGUGACUCAGAGGUUGGACUUGAUAGACAUAAUAGUAAAACAAAUAGCGAUGGAACAUGAAAAAGUCAGACAGUGACUGGCAAGUAUGGAGAGUGAACUGAUCUAUAAUUCCAUUCAGGGCAGGGUCAGCCACAGUGUUCCUCUGUGUUCUGAGCAGAUGUUUGUGUGGGCUGCUCUUGGAGGUCCCUGAUAAUGGAAUUUCUGCUCCCCAGUAAUUUGUGCCAUUACCUUGCUGUCCUUGCUCGUCAUACUGUCUGACCUGAAUCUUCCAUUUCUUUUCAUAUGGGUGAUGAAUGGGAAAAAGGCGUUUCCUUUUGGUAUUGUUAAUAUUUAGUUGAAAGUACUUACAGAUUUUGUGGUCUCUUUGUCAGGGCAGCCACCUCGGUUUCUCCCAUCUCUCCCUGCAUGUUGUUUUCUGAACAGGCAGUUGCUCUGACUGGCUUUCUGGCUGUAGCCUGUGUGAGGCAGUCUUAGGGCACAGCAUUCAAAGCUGGGUGUUCUACUCCAAUGAGAUCUAGCUUAUGUAUGUCUUUGUUCCCUACAUAGUGCAGUGCUGCUGUCAAACUGAAAAAAUAACCACUGACUCAUGCACACCUGUAAUUUCUCUUUUUUUCCUGCCGUGUUCUUUUUGUCUGGCAUUUGUGGUGCAAGUGGCAGCAAUAAUAAGUAAGUUGGAGGUAGUUCUCAAUGAGGAUCUGAGUCUGGGUGGUCAAUAUGUCAAUGCCAAACUAUCUGAUUGGCAUGAGGAAACUGCAUGGCUUUGGGCUGGAAACACAACUGGAAAAGAUGCUGAGGCUGUCCGGAAGUCCGUGGUGGGAUGUAAGGCAUCUGACUUUUUUUUCAUAAUGUUUUGGAUUUAUCCUUGCAGCAGCAUUAUCUGUUAUUUCAAAAACCAUUACUUCUCUGACAUUUGUCCCUCAGGUAGUGUAUGUAGGAGGAGGAAUUUUAUCCUUUUUCAACUUCCACUUUUGGGAACCUGAGCAAAAGUGAAGCACUUGUGUCUGUGAUAGCAUCCAUUACAAAUGUAACAUUAGUUGUUCUUCUCUGGACUUGUUCCUUGCUAGCAAGAAUAAUUAGAUAUUUACUCAUUUUUCUUAACUAUCUCAUCCUGGCCUUCAUUCACAAUGUGAGGGAUCCCAGUUUAAUUGCUGAAUCUUCAAUUUUAGAGACAACAUAAACAAGUCUAACUGUAUCAGAUGCUUUGAAGAGUCUGCAGGCCAAGUGGCUGAAAUCUGUCCUUGCCAUCCAUGCAACUCAGUGCUCAGGCAGUUGAGGAGUAUGCUCUGCCAAUUCCAGGCCAAGCAAAACCUCACCAGGAUUCUCAGACUGAUAAAAACAAUACUGGAGGAAAUGGAGAAAGAUCUGAAUAGAAGAAUUUCUUAUAAUUAAUCACUAUCUGUACUGAGUGCAGUAUUACUAUUCUAGGCCUUUGAAAAUGACAUGUUAUUUUCCUUUCCUUUUAAAUAUGACAAAAGCAAGCCUCAGACUAAGUAGCAGAUUUUAAAUAUUGAAUAUUCCAAAAGGAUUUUUCAUCUGCUAAACAUAAAAACUUCUCUCCAAAAAGAAGCAGGCUGGUUAGGCCAUAUAUGUUUGUUUUUCUCCAUGCAGGAUGUGUUUUCCCACUUCAGCUUAAGCUGGAUAAACAGUUGAGUAAAUGGAAGCACUUUCUCUUAACAGAAAUGCUAUUACUAAAAACAGCUAGUGAUUUAAUCAAUUGAGUUUCACAGUAUUCACAGUUCACCCUCGUGUGCUAGAGUUCAGCAUUGUACAAACAGGAUCAGAAAUUCUUUGCUUACCUAGCAGCAAAUUGGCUGCUUAGUCAGAUAUGCAGAGCACACUGUUGAGCAUACAAUGCUGAAAUAAAGUUUUGAUAAUUGAGCUUUCUCUUAUAGUAUCAUUUGUUGUGGGGUCAGAUUUUUUCAGAUAGCAGCUGUACAAAGUGCCUCAGCAUGCUGUGAGUCCUCUGAAUGAAGUGCAAAGCACAGAUCUUUACAUGGAAUGGGUGGUGGGAGAUGAGCUAGGGAAAUAGUCAGAGGCUUCCAACAUUAUUACUGCUCAUGUGCUGCAUUUCUCUUUGAAAAUUCCCAGAGCUUGCUAUAUAUGGUGAUAUUUAAAAGUCCCAAGAGGAUGGGAAUAAAAUACAUUUUUCUUUCUUUUCUCCAUACUUCAUGAAUAGCUCCUUUCUUGAAAGCCACAAAUGAUGGAACCUUGUUUGUUUUCUUCCAUCCGCUUCUGCUGUUUUCACAGUCGUCUUAAAAACAUUCUGUUUCUGUCAUUGUUCCUUAAAUAUUUGCUUUCCUAUCUCGGAUGGCCUUAUGAAUGGAAACCCAUAGGAAAUGAAUGUCUGUGUUUAUUAACGCUUCAACUUCUGCUAGUUAAGAGCUUUGGAAAAUAGAGCAGUAUGGGCAAAACAAGUAAGAGUUGCAUUUUGAAAUGCUGUUUGUGCAAGUGCUGUGGUUGCUGUCUGUUUCCUACAAGGCAGGUUUAGGAGUCAAGUUGGUGUUCAAAACUGACAGUUAAUUUGAAUGAAAAUAAAUGCCAAAAGUGUCUGUUGGCAGCUGUGGGAUAUCUUAACUAGAAAGUAUAGCAAGUGUGGAUGAGAAUGCGUGUUUGUAAAGAAAGGUGGGUGUUCACCUGGACAGAAUCAAGUUCUGGAAUACAAAAAGGCUGAAUUAGCAUGUGCAGGUAUGUGGAACUGCAUUCCAAUGUGUGUCCUCACUCACAGUGACCAAGCAAACCAAGCUGCUGUGUAUGCUGGGCUUGUUUUACUGUGCCUGAACCUAAUCCACUCAGAAGUUCGGGAUAAAUGAUUAUACAGAGGAGAAGAAAAAUGACUUGAGUGUUUGUAUUCUAUUUGUAUUCAGUAGUGUGUCUAUGAGCUUUAAAAAAACCAACAAAACGAAGUUUCAGACAGUGCAUUUCUGCAUACGGGUUACUGAAGGUAAGGUCUGGUGUACAGGGGAAGUCAGUGCAAGGAAAGUACUUGUUAUUGUGAUAGAAAUCAAUCACUUUUAAUUCUCUGAGGUUGGAAAAAAAAAGGGGGGGGAUUCUAGCAUGAUAUUUACUGGCUUAGAUGAAUACUAGAGGGGGAUUUUUCUUCCUCUAUAGUGAAGACAGUGGCUCAGCAAUUAAUAGUUCUCACAAACACCAACAAAACCUUUUCCCCUUGAUCUCAUCUUAGAAUCUUCAGCUUGUGCCAGCUUUCCUCUUCCUUCUGUAAAUACUUGUCUUCUCUGACUGCAAAGGAAGCAUGGGUGCAACUUACAACUAGGAGUAGGAAAUGAAUUUAAGCGAAGCGAGGUGCUGCUUGGAUAAUACACACACUUCUGCAAAGGGCUUCUAUCACAAAUCCAUCUUAGAAUCAUGGAGUAUCAUGUUUGAUUAAAUGAACUCCAACAAAGAGAAGAGAAAAGGCAAUAAAGGAGGUGCAGAAGGAUUUGAAUUAACUAGGGCAUCCUAUUCAGAACCUCAAACAGCGAUGAAAGGCCUGCACUACUGAACAGGCAAAGUAAAAUAAUCUGAGUAUAACUGCAGUCUAUGGAAUCGUGGUGCUCCAGAGGGGCUGUGAGUGGGGUCCUGCUAUCCUCUUGCACUGCUGCCUGCUCUCCCUGAUCUGUUGUUUGCUCAGAUCAAACCCGAGGUCAGGAAAACAUGUGCUGCUGUUGUGAGGUAAAUGCUGGGCAAACGGUCAAAUGAGGGAGGCAGAUCCAACCACCUGCUGGCUAUUGAGGCCCCCUGGUCUUUUUAUUUCAUUGCUGGGAUUGCAGGCAAUGCCUUGUAAUAGCGGAGCAGAAGCUGGAUGUUUGGUGAUUCGGAUGGGAAGAACAACUUUGGGGUUAACCCAGCACUGCCUGCUGUUGUAGAGCAUUUCUUCUUCUGACGUAGUAAUAAUCGUACCUGCUGCUUAAUUUGUUCACUAAUAAGGAUGAGUACAUGUCUUAUCCUUUUAAGGUAGAGUAGCAAACACUAAAUGUGUAUUUGGUCAGCAUUAAGUGUCACAUUGUUUUAUCCAUAUUUCUUCUUGUUUCAAGGUAAGUAGAUCUGACUCGGCUGUUAAUGUAGCUGUAACUGAGCCCUAAAAUGGAACUGUUGCCUAACGUGCAUAGUCAGAUAGUCCAAAACCAACAACACAGUACUCUCAUCUUUGUGUAGAUGACUGUAUGGGGACGUCACUGAUGUUAAAGUGCUUUUAACUUGUUGCCCAACAAACACGUGUUGUGGCAGCACUUUGUUAGCAUAUCCACUGCUGUUUCCAGGAUCUUAUCUUCUGUUUCUGGCUCUGGAAUUCUGCAUCUCUGGAUUUCUAGAAACCAGAUUUGUUGGUCUUCCAUGAAUUUAGUAAAUAUAUAUCGCCAAACAGACUUCAAUUUGUAUUAACCCUGGGGACUAUGCAUGGUGUACAGCAUAAGUUUUGCUUGCUGUACUUGAUUUUAACAAGUUGGAGGAAUUGAGAAUAAGGUAAAAUCCUUAGUGUGUACCAGCUUGGACCAGGAGGUAUUUGAGUGCUUGGACCAGGAUGUGUUUGAGUGCUGUGAAGUUUGGAUGGAAGAACUGUUUUUCAGUUCAGACAGAUCUUCAGUCUGUCUCAUUGAUAUAAAAUAAUGUUUAAAAGAUAUAUCCCUAGGAUUUUUGCUCUGAAAUUUCUCUUCAGCAGUGCACCACGAUUUGCGUAUGCAUUUCCUCAGCACAAGAAACUAACUUUCUGCUUUGUAAUGCCACUAUUAGAAACUGCAGAGGUAGAGAUAGGUAACAGCAAUCCCACUUUCUACAACUUUGCCAUUCCUCUGGUGCUGAUCUUUAACACAAAGAGGUGCAACAGGUCUGAGAAUUGAGGAGCACCUGGUGUAGCACUCAGCUGCAAGCAGAAGGAAGGAACAAAGUGAUGGAGCAGUGAGUGCUGCUGCAUGCUGAGGCUUCUCCAGGUGUGUCUUGUGGCCCCUUGUCCCCCAAAGGGGUGUAUGUGUGACAUAAAGAGGCACUGAUCAGCUCCUGGGCUCCUCAGCAGGCUGUGACAUCCUCUUAAGAAUGUUCUGUCAAUGAAUAUGCCAAUGAUAAAGUGUCUUUUUUUUUACCUUGCAUUUCACUGGGGAGGUGUGUUGUCACUCAUUACCUUGCUGGGCAGGUUUAAUAGGGUGGAGGUUCUGGGAGAACUGGUGGAACUGGAAGUAAGUUAUACUCCUUCAGUAUUAAAAUUGAGUUAGGCUUCUGAAUUAAAAGUGGUUAUUUGCCUAAUUUCCCUUCAGAUGCUCUAAUAUACCCAGGGAACCAAGGCUAAUUGUCUGUUGCAUUGCUUUUCGUUGGCUCAAAUGCAGACCUCAGAGUGGGAGGAGAGCAAGGAAGGACCAGUGGGUGGGAAAUCAGGGACGUAGCACACUUUGGAAUCUUUUAGUCCCUUCCUCCUAAAAUAAAUAAAUGAAUUUGUAAUUUUCUUCGAGCAGAGUUUCUUGUGUGUGUUCUGUGGGCUGUGUUGUCCAAAGAUUUCUAAAUCUUCUGUAGACCUAGCAUACUAUUUAGGAAAACGUGCCCAACUGUGCAUGCAUUUAGGCAUAGUAGUUGUGCUUUUAUGAACUAUCUUUGUACAAAUGUAAUGACACCAAUACAGGCAAGUUUAAUGAAUGAACUGGGUUUGUUUUCAGAUAAACUCGGUUGCGUCAGUACAAAACCUGUGCACAGACAGACCUUUACUUUUGCUACUUAUAUGGUAGUACAAAGGUGAGAUGUGCUCUGCAAGGUGUAUCGUUGUUCUGCUUUCCUUAAGAGGAAACCAAGGAGAUGGCAUGAGGCACUUCAGGAAAAAGUGGGAGUAGAGAGUUUUUGAGGUGCUUUGGUUAUUCUUUUCUGGACUGUGAGAAUAGAGGGCUCUGGAUGUCAAGAAAGAAGCGUGCUUGGCAGCCAUUCAGAGAUUGUUUCAAGUGUACUGUAGUGGCACUGCCAGCAUCAAGCAUCAAAGUUGGCCUUCUGCAUCCAGUUUCCAAUCAAUCCCAUGCACUACAGCUGUAAGUACUCUUGUGCUGCUACCACCUGGCUGUGGCUGAUUCAACUCCGCUACUUGUCCUAAAAGGAAUAAUUAGUUGUUUUAAUUUAACUGAACAGGAAAGGUUCAGGUAAGCCAGAGCCUGUGCCACCAACUCUCAACAAAGACAACUUUUAUUUUCACAGAAAAUUUUGAGAGGAAUGCAUCUUAAAAGCCCUGUCCUGUGCCACCUUCCCUCCAGCUGCUUUGCUGGUAGCAGGAUCUUAAUUAGAACUCUCCUGGAACAGAAUUCCUGUUCUAAGGCAUGUGUGUUGCCAUUGAUUUUCACGGGGCUGCUCAGGUGAGGUAAACAGCUGCAGAGUGAUACUGAGCUCACAGCUGCAAGUCUGUAAUAGGUUAAAAGCAGCUGGUCAGACUGUGGAUAGUGAAUUCUGGUUAUAAUGAAACGGCUGAUAACUUCUGAGGAAAGAAGGUGUGACAUUUCCCCUAUGAUUUUCAGUGGCAGCAUUUCUUAUGGGGCGUCGAUUCACUUUCCCAUUUAAAAUUACUUGGAAUCCUUCCACAACCAAUCAAUGGUGUCACACUGGGCCGUACUGUUAUGCAAUAACAUAAUACAGUGCCCAAAUAUCUGGGGCUGCCCCAGGAACCCCAAGUGCUGAUGCAGGCAGCCCAGCAUGGCAAAUCCUACAGCUGUGCUGCUGCUGACCUUGGCUUGCUGCCUGCUGAGCCUCCAGCCCCAAAGCUCCUUGGAUCUCCUUGGCUUGCCUGGAUCUCCAACAAUCUCUUGACAGGCAACACAGGCCUGGCAUUCUCUGCCAAAGGAUCCCACUGCAGCUGUUGCUGCCUGGAGAAUGGCUGUUCUCACAUGUUCCAGUUCCUCUGGACCGAACUUUGGGGAUGCCCCUCAUCUCUCCUGUCUCACCAUUGACAUCUCAGUGCCCACUGCAGCAUCUGGGACAGCCCUGUCCAGGCCACGAGUAACAGCAAAGGAUGAAACCCUGGGGCACCUGCUGGCUGUUCUGCACCACGCUGCACGAGGAGCUCAGCACGCAGCAGGAGCAGCCACCCCCAGCAAUACCACCACUGCUCCUUGGCUACAAGCAUGCAGAAGGAGGGCUGGAAAGCAAAAAGAGCUGGUGAGGGGCACGGUGAGAAGGAAAGCUGCUGUGCCAGCAACGCCAUCCCCUCUGCCCCAGCCAGAUGUUUCUGUUGCUUUGUGUGGGUUUGAGUCUGCACAGCUGGCAGCAGCCAUGGCAGAGCUGGCAUCAGCAUUGCGGACUGGGGGUGCAAAAAGGGAGAAUGACAUUCUUGAUCAGUUAAAGAAUGGAUUCAGUGACAUCUUUAAAGAGUGUUCUUGAAGAAGCCAUGCUAAAAAAAAAAAACAAAAAAAAAACCAAACACAUUCAAGUUUCAGAACUCCAAACUUACUGCGAAAUGAUGAUGAAGGUUGCUCAGUGAGCUGCUCCAAACUGCAGUGGUUCCUGUGGGCGUACAAGAGAUGGCCACCCAAGGCAGUCACAUGUGGAGUGUUAUCAGUUACACACAGUGUUCUGUGCAAAUGUGAUGAUAAUAAAUCGGCUCCAACAAUU